rnacentral:rRNA from 1 species
AUUGAACGCUGGCGGCAGGCUUAACACAUGCAAGUCGAACGAGUGGCGGACGUGUGAGUAAUGCUUGGGAAUAUUGCUUAUGGAGGGGGAUAACUACGGGAAACUGUAGCUAAUACCGCGUACAAUAGGAUGAGCCCAAGUGGGAUUAGGUAGGUGUUGAGGUAAAGGCUCACCAAGCCGACGAUCUCUAGCUGGUCUGAGAGGAGGACCAGCCACACUGGGACUGAGACACGGCCCAGACUCCUACGGGAGGCAGCAGUGGGGAAUAUUGCGCAAUGGGGGCAACCUGACGCAGCCAUGCCGCGUGAAUGAAGAAGGCCUUCGGGUUGUAAAGUUCUUUCGGUAGCGAGGCGUUAACUACAGAAGAAGCACCGGCUAACUCCGUGCCAGCAGCCGCGGUAAUAC